rnacentral:lncRNA from 1 species
AAUUCACUUUUCUCAAUAUUACUUGUAUAUAGGUAUAGCCCACUCAUGUCUAAAUAGGAUUGGAGCCCGACCCAAAAUUUUAAAUUGCAAUAUCUAGUUAGUCCAGCCUCUACAAAGGCUUGGAAAGCAGCCCAGCCCAUAAUAUUCUUCUACCCAAUCAGCCCAACUCAUAUAAUUAACCUUUUACCCAGUCAGCUUUAUCCAGAAAACAAAAACAGAAAUAUUUAAAAGCAGCUAGCUGCCCACAUGAGUUUUUAUUCCUUUUUUUUUUCUUUCUUCUUCUUGUACUCUUUUUUU